UACGAAGGGUGCAAGCGUUAAUCGGAAUUACUGGGCGUAAAGGGUGCGUAGGCGGUUGUUUAAGUCUGUCGUGAAAUCCCCGGGCUCAACCUGGGAAUGGCGAUGGAAACUGGGCAGCUAGAGUGUGUCAGAGGAUGGUGGAAUUCCCGGUGUAGCGGUGAAAUGCGUAGAGAUCGGGAGGAACAUCAGUGGCGAAGGCGGCCAUCUGGGACAACACUGACGCUGAAGCACGAAAGCGUGGGGAGCGAACAGG
rnacentral:rRNA from 1 species